UCGCGCAAGUGCGAGAAGGAGGAGAAGGCGGAGAAGCUCAAGGUGAAGAAGGCGAUCGAGAAAGGCAACAUGGAUGGCGCGCGGAUCUACGCGGAGAACGCGAUCCGUAAGCGUACGGAGCAGAUGAACUACCUUCGCUUGGCCUCACGCCUCGACGCCGUGGUGGCGCGGCUUGAUACGCAGGCGAAGAUGGCGACGAUCAGCAAGUCGAUGGGAAACAUCGUGAAAUCGCUGGAGUCGUCGCUGGCGACGGGGAACUUGCAGAAGAUGUCGGAGACGAUGGACCAGUUCGAGAAGCAGUUCGUGAACAUGGAGGUCCAGGCGGAGUUCAUGGAGAGCGCCAUGGCCGGAUCGACCUCUCUCUCCACUCCCGAAGGAGAGGUCAACAGCCUCAUGCAGCAGGUCGCCGACGACUACGGUCUCGAGGUUUCCGUCGGCCUCCCUCAGCCCGCCGCUCACGCCGUUCCGACCAAGGAAGCCGACAAGGUCGACGAGGACGACUUGUCUCGCCGCCUCGCCGAACUCAAGGCUAGAGGUUAACUUAAUUAAUUAAUCAAUUAAUACUAUCACAUCAUCAUCACCAUCAUCAUCACUAUCACUAUCCUUUUCCAUCGCAUAUGCAGCAGUGUUAUGUUUUCUGUAUAUUAAUCCGAAUUCAG
rnacentral:lncRNA from 1 species